rnacentral:lncRNA from 1 species
GCCACGAGGCGCAGGCUUCGGCAUAUAAUGGUGUGUUUUCUGCUUAGUCCAGAUAAGGCGUAAGCCUCGCAAUCCUUUUCAGUCGCCUCGCUACGAGGCGCGCCUCGAGGCGUACGCCUCGAGCGCUUUUUCGAACAAUGCUUGAUGAAUCAAGAGCAGUUUAGCAAUAUCUGUGACACUGAAUGUUGGCGGUUUCCUAUUUGUACUGGUGGAGUAUGGUCAGGAACUUCUGUCUAUAAUCUCCAAUCAGCUCAUCAGGGUGGCAAGUAGCAUUUUUGUUUUUACAUCAAUUCCUGAAGGUGUCAGGGUUACAAUUACAUGCGUCUAACUUUUGGCUCAAGUCUUUCUUCUGAUUGGCAAUCAGCUUGUAUAGUCUGUGUAGCUGCAUGUACGCUGCAUUGUAAUCCACUUAUCAAAAAC